AGUGAACGCUGGCGGUAGGCCUAACACAUGCAAGUCGAACGGCAGCACAGUAAGAGCUUGCUCUUACGGGUGGCGAGUGGCGGACGGGUGAGGAAUACAUCGGAAUCUACUUUUUCGUGGGGGAUAACGUAGGGAAACUUACGCUAAUACCGCAUACGACCUACGGGUGAAAGCAGGGGAUCUUCGGACCUUGCGCGAUUGAAUGAGCCGAUGUCGGAUUAGCUAGUUGGCGGGGUAAAGGCCCACCAAGGCGACGAUCCGUAGCUGGUCUGAGAGGAUGAUCAGCCACGCUGGAACUGAGACACGGUCCAGACUCCUACGGGAGGCAGCAGUGGGGAAUAUUGGACAAUGGGCGCAAGCCGGAUCCAGCCAUACCGCGUGGGUGAAGAAGGCCUUCGGGUUGUAAAGCCCUUUUGUUGGGAAAGAAAAGCAGCAGGUUAAUACCCCGCUGUUCUGACGGUACCCAAAGAAUAAGCACCGGCUAACUUCGUG
rnacentral:rRNA from 1 species